AGCAGGGUGGCUCAGUGGAAAGAGCCCGGGCUUGGGAGUCAGAGAUCAUGGGUUUGAAUUCCCAGCUCUGCCA
rnacentral:tRNA from 1 species